rnacentral:rRNA from 1 species
GAUGAACGCUGGCGGCGUGCCUAAUACAUGCAAGUCGAGCGAACAGACGAUGAGCUUGCUCCUCUGACGUUAGCGGCGGACGGGUGAGUAACACGUGUAUAACCUACCUAUAAUACUGGGAUAACUUCGGGAAACCGGAGCUAAUACCGGAUAAUAUAUUGAACCGCAUGGUUCAAUAGUGAAAGACGGUGUUGCUGGCUCUUAUAGCUGGAUCCGCGCGGCUUUAUGUAGUUGGUAAGGUAACGGCUUAUCAAGGCGACCAUGCGUAGCCGACUUGAGAGGGUGAAGGGCGACAGUGGAACUGACACACGGUACAGGCUCUGAGGUGAGGCCGAGGUGGGGAAUCUAGCGAACAGGGGGGAAGAUUGAAGGAGGAACGCAGCGUGGGUGAUGAAGGUCUUCGGAUCGUAAAACUCUGUUCGUAGGGAAGAACAAAUGUGCAAGUAACUAUGCACGUCUGGACGGUACCUAAAAAGAAGGCCACGGCUAACUAGGU